rnacentral:misc_RNA from 1 species
GUUUACCUCUUAUGAGUGUAAGCAAUGGCACUGUUACCAGGGCGGGUUUUGUGCUUUUGUUAGAAGUCCUGAGCUUUAAGCUCCUAUGGAUGAUCUACAAUGGGUAUAUUCAGGGUUUUUUGGGGAUAAGUUUGGGGUGUGUCCUCCACCCCACCCCACCCAGCCCAACCCAUCCACCUAUAACUGGGUACAGUGGCGUUUG